AGAGAGAGAUUUCGUGAGAUUGGAGUUUGAUUGCAACGUGAGGGGCGAACGGGGACACCGAUGUCACUCGAGUACGAGGUAUCCUCGCGUCGAGCGGAGAGGGCCGUGAGAUCCCGACUUCGUUAGACACCUCUCGAGUUUAAUCUCCUCUCUCUCUCUCUCUCUCUCUCUCUCCCCCCUUCGUCCUCAAUAAGAUCGCUUCCUCUCUCGAUGCCUUCGUGCUCCCCAUUCCCCCGUCGGGCCACCAGGAAUAACGCAGUAGGGAAGUCUUCCUCAAAAGAAGAUUUCUGUAGCGGGACGGUAAGAAAGAGAUUCGAACAGGUGUUCCAAGAUCAUCGUUAACAUCAUCGAUGACCUCCACCACCGAAUGCUGAAGGGUGAACGGCGCCGGCAGAUGCUAUUUGUGUAAACUUCAUUUGCAUCCGUCUCUGUUGUACGAUCACAUCCAGGCUAUACCUUCGAUGCGAACCAAAGACGGGCUUUACCUUUCUUCUGAAACGUCAGAAUGCAGUCCGUCGAACCCACCAAGUCAGAGGCCAUGGGAAUUGUUCCUAAGGGCCUAUACGUUGGUUGGGUUCGAGCCCAAUUGAAUCCGAGUCGAAGUGAACCCCCGAGCCUCGACCCCUUCGCCUAGCAAUAGGAGGAGGGAGCCGGUCUCGAUCAAAUCCAAGUAUGAAGGCUGUCGGCGAGUUCGGGGAGCUCAAACCGCUCCUCCUCAGGAUCUCCGCCGUCGCCGCCGCCUGCUUGGCCGCCUUCUUCUUCGGCAAGCACUGGUCUUCCGCCUCCUACCCCCAGCUCCCCUUCUACCCCCGCUUCCCCGUCGUGUCCUCCUUCGACAGCGCCACGCCCUACGUCGCCAUCUCCCCCAACGCUCACUUCUCCGCAGACGUCUCCUCCCUGAUCUCCUCCUUAUCGCCUCCUCUCCAUGCAGCCUCUCCGGCCAUCCCUUCCCACCCUCCGCCCCCACCCCCGCCUCCUCCGCAACUCCCAGAAAGAAUCGGGGUCGUAGACGACGAAGGGAACAUGAGAGACGAUUUCGAUGUGGGCGCGCUGGACUCAGAAGUGGUGGAUGUCUUCGACGAGGUGAAUGGGACUAGCAAGGAUAGCGAAGGGGAGGACACGAGGGUUAGGGUUGGGAUCAACAAGUUUAAAGUGUGCCCCAGUAGCAUGUCGGAGUAUAUUCCGUGCUUGGAUAACGCGGAGGCAAUAGAGAGGUUGCAGUCUACGAUAAGAGGGGAAAAAUUCGAGCGGCAUUGUCCUGAGCAGAGCAAGGGGUUGAAUUGCUUGGUUCAGGCGCCCAAGGAUUACAAAACGCCGAUCCCUUGGCCCAGAAGCAGAGAUGAGGUAUGGUUUAGCAAUGUACCUCACACACGCUUGGUUGAAGAUAAAGGAGGUCAAAAUUGGAUUACAAAAGUUAAAGACAAAUUCAAAUUUCCUGGAGGUGGAACUCAGUUUAUUCAUGGGGCAGAUCAGUAUUUGAAUCAGAUCUCUAAGAUGGUUCCAGAUAUUGCAUUUGGUUACCAUACAAGAGUAGCUCUUGAUAUUGGUUGUGGAGUAGCAAGUUUUGGUGCUUUCUUACUCUCCCGAAAUGUGAUCACCUUGUCAAUAGCUCCAAAAGAUGUUCAUGAGAAUCAGAUUCAGUUUGCUCUUGAACGGGGUGUGCCAGCAAUGGUGGCAGCUUUUGCAACUCGUCGAUUGUUAUAUCCAAGUCAGGCAUUUGACUUAAUUCAUUGUUCAAGAUGUAGAAUAAAUUGGACCCGUGAUGAUGGAAUCCUGCUUCUUGAGGUCAACAGAAUGCUAAGAGCUGGAGGUUACUUUGUUUGGGCAGCACAACCAGUUUAUAAACAUGAAGCGAGCCAACAGAAGGCUUGGCUAGAGAUGCAGGACCUUGCAGCUAGGAUUUGUUGGGAACUUGUAAAGAAGGAAGGAUAUAUUGCAAUAUGGCGGAAGCCUUUAAGCAAUACAUGCUAUGAGAGUCGUGAUUCUGGAGCUCAACCUCCAUUAUGUAAUGCAGAUGAUGAUCCAGACAACGUUUGGUAUGUAAACAUGACGGCAUGCAUAAGCAGACUUCCUGAGAUUGGAUAUGGAGCAAAUGUUUCAACGUGGCCUGCCCGUCUGCAGGAGCCACCACAAAGACUUCAAGCUGUUGUGAUGGAUGCUUAUAUAGCAAAAAAUGAGCUCUUUAUGGCGGAAUCGAGAUAUUGGGAUGACAUACUUGCAAGCUAUGUUCGUGCUUUUCAUUGGAAAAAAAUGAAGCUGCGGAAUGUAAUGGAUAUGAGGGCUGGAUUUGGAGGGUUUGGUUCCGCAUUAAUCAACCAUCAAAUCGAUUGCUGGGUGAUGAAUGUUGUCCCUAAUAGUGGACCCAACACAUUACCUGUAAUAUAUGAUCGGGGACUUGUAGGAGUUACUCAUGACUGGUGUGAACCAUUUGAUACGUAUCCAAGAACUUAUGAUCUACUGCAUGCGUUUGGCCUCUUCUCCGAAGAGCAGAAAAGGUGCAACAUCACUAGCAUCUUGCUGGAGAUGGACCGCAUGCUAAGACCUGGUGGGCAUGCUUAUAUUCGUGAUUUGAAAUACAUUAUCAACGACAUUCAACAAAUCGCAGAGGCCAUGGGAUGGCGGACGAAUCUCCGUGAUACAGCCGAAGGCCCAUAUGCGAGCAGGAAGAUUUUGAUGUGCCAGAAACACUGAAACUGAAACAGAUGUGGUUUUGUGAAGAGCUCAUCAUGUACGGCCUGUGGUUUCGAAGUGUUUCUAGCUCUUCUGCGAGUUCAACCGUAUGUUUAUUCCACAGAAUAAGGACCAAAUGCUGGUGGCAGGAGCCAUUGCUGUACACAGGAAUCUUAAAGAGUUGGCUUGAAUUAAUUAAAUCGACAUGAAAAAGACUUCCGUUAUGACAUAAGAUCAGAUUAAUCAGAGGUCGUGGACGGCUUUGAUGCGUUCGAUAUUACAUGAACGUUUCGAUGACGAAGGAAGCUCUUUCCUCCAUAAGCGUAGCUCACUCUGCAAUCCAAAGGUCAAAAAGUAUGUUCUCUUCCCCCCAUUGGCUCUAUGAUCUGUGGAUCGCUUGGCGUCAGCCAUAUGUUAUCGGAUGAUAUGAUACGUGUGACGAGAGAUGCA